rnacentral:lncRNA from 10 species
GCGAAGGAAGGCGCUGCCUCGCGUUGGAGGAGCUUGCUCUGAGCUGCUGCCACCUGCUGGGCUGGAGCUGGAGCUGGAGCUGCGAAUUCGGAGUCCCGGUUCCCUGUGCCACCUGGCGAGCUCAGCAAACUAAAAGUCUCUUUGUCUUCAUCGUUUCCGGCACUGAUGUGAGCACAUCAUAAGCACAAGACCUGGACACCUUUACAAUCAGAGGGCCUAGGACUGGAGCUCUGGAUCUGACCGGAGCAAAGAGGAAGCACGCAAAUCCGGACAUGACGACGAGGAGGCAGUAGAGACCCAUCCUCAACUGUGCCCUUGUUGAGCUGCUUGAGGCAGAAGGCACAGACGAAGUGCUCGGGGUGGAACUUCUUGGCCAUGGCGGUGAUGCAGCGGCCGGUGAUGGGCUUCUGGCAGCCAGAACACAGCGAGCCGCGCCGCUCGUGGUAGUGCACCUCACAGUAGGGCUGCCCGUCGUGCUCGAAGAAGCUGCCGUUCACGAAUGGCGUGAAGCAUUCCUGCCAGGCGGAGAGAGGGGCUCAGGGAGCUGCCCCUCGGGCUAGAGCUGCACCCUGUGUGAUGGGGCCGAGGUGGGCAUAGUCGGCACGCUCGGAGUGACUCCUACUUGCUAGGCGUUUCCCAUGUGCCGUGUUGUCCUAAACGCUCAUUUUUCAUUUUUAUUUUAUUAAAUAAAUUUUUUUUGUAGAGAUGGGGGUCUCACUAUAUUGCCCAUGCUGGUCAAAUGUGGCCUCCUGCAAUCCUCCCACCUCGGCCUCCCACAGGGCUGGGAUUAUUUAGUUCUCCCAACAGGGGAGGCAACUGAAGCACACAGGUGAAGUAACUUGCCCAGGGUCAUG